AUUGAACGCUGGCGGCAGGCCUAACACAUGCAAGUCGAACGGCAGCGGGGGGUAGCUUGCUACCUCGCCGGCGAGUGGCGGACGGGUGAGUAAUGCCUGGGGAGCUGCCCAGUCGAGGGGGAUACCAGUUGGAAACGACUGCUAAUACCGCAUACGCCCUGAGGGGGAAAGAUGGGGAUCUUCGGACCUAUCGCGAUUGGAUGCACCCAGGUGGGAUUAGCUAGUUGGUGAGGUAACGGCUCACCAAGGCGACGAUCUCUAGCUGGUCUGAGAGGAUGACCAGCCACACUGGAACUGAGACACGGUCCAGACUCCUACGGGAGGCAGCAGUGGGGAAUAUUGCACAAUGGGGGAAACCCUGAUGCAGCCAUGCCGCGUGUGUGAAGAAGGCCUUCGGGUUGUAAAGCACUUUCAGCGGGGAGGAAGGGGAGCAAGCUAAUACCUUGUUUCAUUGACGUUACCCGCAGAAGAAGCACCGGCUAACUCCGUGCCAGCCGCCGCAGUAA
rnacentral:rRNA from 1 species